AAAGUCGUAACAAGGUAACCGUAGGUGAACCUGCGGUUGGAUCAUUAAUAAGUUUUGGUUCAUAACCAAACAACCCUGUGUGCUAUGUUUUCUGUUUCUCGUGGUUCGAGUGUAUAUUUUUUAUAAUGAAAAAUAUGCCUGCCUUUGGCUUUGAUGAGAUUUGUUUCUUGUUGGCCGAGUGGCUGUUCCACGGAAGGGAUCUAGGAGUGUUAAGUUCUUUGGAGUUUUCACUUUGAGAUCCUGUCAAAGAGCUUUUGAAUUGUUGACUUCUUUUUAUAAGUGUUUCUGAUUGAUGACUCUGCUUAAUUGUGUUGAGUUUCUUUGGGACCUUUGAAUAGAUAUCCAUUGAGAGGGCUCUUUAAUCAACCUAAUAAAGUAUUUUUAUAUGUCUUAUUUUUUCACAUUUUUAAUGUGUAAAUUUUAUAACAACUUUUGACAACGGAUCUCUUGGCUCUC
rnacentral:misc_RNA from 1 species